UACGUAGGGGGCUAGCGUUGUCCGGAAUCAUUGGGCGUAAAGAGCGCGUAGGCGGCUAGAUAAGUCCGGUGUGAAAGUCACAGGCUCAACCUGUGAAUGCCGCUGGGAAACUGUCUGGCUAGAGUCCGGAAGGGGCGAGUGGAAUUCCUGGUGUAGCGGUGAAAAUGCGCAGAUAUCAGGAGGAACACCAGUGGCGAAGGCGGUCUC
rnacentral:rRNA from 1 species